rnacentral:rRNA from 1 species
GACGAACGCUGGCGGCGUGCUUAACACAUGCAAGUCGAACGGAAAGGCCCUGCUUUUGUGGGGUGCUCGAGUGGCGAACGGGUGAGUAACACGUGAGUAACCUGCCCUUGACUUUGGGAUAACUUCAGGAAACUGGGGCUAAUACCGGAUAGGAGCUCCUGCUGCAUGGUGGGGGUUGGAAAGUUUCGGCGGUUGGGGAUGGACUCGCGGCUUAUCAGCUUGUUGGGGGGGUAGUGGCUUACCAAGGCUUUGACGGGUAGCCGGCCUGAGAGGGUGACCGGCCACAUUGGGACUGAGAUACGGCCCAGACUCCUACGGGCGGCAGCAGUGGGGAAUAUUGCACAAUGGGCGGAAGCCUGAGGCAGCAACGCCGCGUGCGGGAUGCCGGCCUUCGGGUUGUAAACCGCUUUCGCCUGUGACGAAGCGUGAGUGACGGUAAUGGGUAAAGAAGCACCGGCUAACUACGUG